AUGCUGGCCGUGCACACACACAAGCAGCGGAGUGAAAAGCCUCCUUCACAUCGUUCCCAAACAAAUCCCGAUGCCACCACCACGUCAGCCCGGGCGCUGCACGCUUGGUACUUACAGGAGCGUCCUGCUGCUGCUGCGGGGACAGGGACGGGAGAGCUGCUGGAGGGGAGGGCACAUGGAGAGCCGCAGGAGCGAGGGGAGGAAGGGCCCCGGCCCCUCUUUGGGCCCCAGAGGCAGCAGCACUUGUUCACGGGAUGGAGAGCAACAACGCUGGCAUGCCUAGAGCAGCAAGGACAAUGGGGAGGGACGAGGAGGCGCUGCCAUAAUCAAAUGCAGGCCAGCUGGCCCUCCCCCAGGAAGGGCAGGCACCUCCUUCACUUGCCAAAGGCUUUGUUUUCUAAGCCACAAAGAACAAAGUGGUGCGAGGGUGAGAGGGAGAGAAGGGCUGAGGAGAACCCGACGUGGGCAGAGCCACACGUGAGCGCAGGUAACGCGCCCAGAGAUGCCAAGAGAGACGCAGAGCGGCUGGGUGACACUCUGCACAUGCUGAGCAGCGGGGCCUCGCUGGAGAUCCCUGCUGCAGAGACAGAACCAGCCCAGGUGGAUGGCUGGGCUCCUUCCAGAGAUGAGAUCCAAGGGCCAGAGAACGCCUCUGAAGGGAAGGCUCCAGAGCAGAGCCCAAAGGAAUCCCAACGAGGGAAACGCCAACGUUUCUCCAGCAGCCUCAGCCCACCAGUCCCAAGCGCUGGGCCUCCGGAUGGCUUCCCCUUGGAAAGCGAAUGCAAGGCGAGGUCCCAAGGUUCCCACCAGAGGAGGCAGCGCCUUGCACAACAUCCUGCAGAGCAGGAUAAAAAGCCCUGGGGGCUGGGGCUGCCCCGGGGGCCCUCCUGUGAUGACACAGGCACAACAGCUCCCAGGCGCUGGGUACCAACCACCCCAUGGCCGCAGGGCACGCAGGUGCUGAGCUGGUGGGAUGCGGCUCUGCCCUUUCCAGUUGGGCCAGGGCUUUCUUCCAGCAGGGACUUUUUGGCAGAAAGCAUCACGAGUCUGCCACCGACUUUCUGCAGGACUGCUUGA
rnacentral:lncRNA from 1 species